CCUACGGGGGGCAGCAGUGAGGAAUAUUGGUCAAUGGGCGCGAGCCUGAACCAGCCAAGUAGCGUGAAGGAGGACUGCCCUACGGGUUGUAAACUUCUUUUAUAAAGGAAUAAAGUGAGGCAUGUGUGCCAUUUUGUCUGUACUUUAUGAAUAAGGAUCGGCGAAAUACGUGCCAGGAGCCGCGGUAAUAAGGAGGAUCCGAGCGUUAACCGGAUGUAUUGGGUUUAAAGGGAGCGUAGAUGGGUUGUUAAGUCAGUUGUGAAAGUUUGCGGCUCAACCGUAAAAUUGCAAUUGAUACUGGCAGUCUUGAGUACAGUUGAGGUAGGCGGAAUUCGUGGUGUAGCGGUGAAAUGCUUAGAUAUCACGAAGAACUCCGAUUGCGAAGGCAGCUUACUAAACUGCCACUGACAUUGAUGCUCGAAAGUGUGGGUAUCAAACAGGAUUAGAUACCCUAGUAGUC
rnacentral:rRNA from 1 species